CGAGCUAAUACUAUAAAAAAAGAUAAAAUAUUGAUAAAAUAAUAAUUUUAAAAUUUUUGAGUUGCAAUGAAACAUCAAUAAUAAAUAGUAUGAGAAAAAAGAGUAUGAAGAUAUUUUAUUUUAUUUUAUUAAAUUUUUUUUAUAAAAGUGACUUGAUCAUAUUACAAUAGACUAUAUGAAUACAUUAAUUAGAAAAUGAGCAUAUGAGAAGACAAAACAUCAGGUGGAGAAGGAAGAUGGGAAGGCGAAACACCAAGAAAUUGAAAAGGGGGGAGAAGGCAAGGGUGAAGGAGGAAUUGCCACGUGGCAAAGUUACGAGAAAUAAUAUAUAGGUAUAGAUAGAUUGAUUAUAUAUUGUGACACGUCAUUUAAUAGGAAUUAUAUAUAUAUAUACUAGUUGAAUGUACGUGCAAAUGCAUGUAACAAUUAAUUAUUAUAAUAUAUUUCAAACCAAUAUAAAUGUGUACAUUAUAUAAAUCCAAAAUUUUAUAAUAAAAACUAUAUUUAUAAAUUAAUAUAUUAUAUUUUAUUAGAAAAUAUUUACAAUAUCCUA
rnacentral:lncRNA from 1 species